UACGUAGGGUGCGAGCGUUAAUCGGAAUUACUGGGCGUAAAGGGCGCGUAGGUGGCCUUCUAAGUUGAACGUGAAAUCCCUGGGCUCAACCCAGGAACUGCGUCCAAGACUGGGAGGCUUGAAUCCGGGAGAGGGAUGCGGAAUUCCAGGUGUAGCGGUGAAAUGCGUAGAUAUCUGGAGGAACACCGGUGGCGAAGGCGGCAUCCUGGACCAAUACUGACGCUGAGGAGCGAAAGCCAGGGGAGCAAACGGG
rnacentral:rRNA from 1 species